UGUUAAAAAUUACACCCAUUUUUACUAUUAAAAACUGGCAAAGUUGACAAAACAACCACAAAAUGACAUAUAGCGUGCCAUGUGCACCUCAUGUUGAUGUAUAGGAAUCGAUUUUUUAACUAGAAAAAUGGAUGAAUUUCUAACA
rfam:Gossypium arboreum cultivar AKA8401 contig_3072_7, whole genome shotgun sequence.